CCCCAGCAGAUUCGGUGUCAUCGUGAGUGCUGGAAUACGCUUCUCGACCGAUAGAGCGCUGGCGUGCUCACAGGCAAGCUCAGCAGAACAAGGCUCUGGGAGCAUCCAUGAGUUCUCAUAAACACUGUGUCUGUACAGCAAAAUGUCGCUUUACCGGACAAAUAAAGAAUACUGAACAAAAUGAGAAGUAGUCCAUGGCCAAGGACUGAGAAACACAGGAACACAUGAGCUCUCCCCUGUGCCUAUACUGGAUCCCACAAUGGACACUAUCAAGAAAAGGUGUUCCCCUGGAAAGAGGCAGAUACUCAAAAAGAUUCAUGUUUCAUUAUUCCAGAAGAAUGGAUUCUUGAACGAUUCCCUGUGUCCUUCAUAGAGGUGUCAGACAUCUGAGCAUGUUACAGUACACAUUGCGGCUUCCCACCUUUGGACUGGUUUCUGCACAUUCAGUACAUAACACAAAAUGGAGUUCAACAUUUGAAAGAAAACUAACUUAUUUUGCCACAUUGGCCAGCCAUACUUGCCCUACUAUUUGUUCAAGAACCCAUAAGAAAUUGCACAGUUGUCAUCCAGUUCCAAUACAAAUGCCCCCCCUUAAAAAAAAAUGUUAACUUCUUAAUUAUCAUUUAUCUUGGUAGUCUUCUCAGACAGGUCAAACAUUGAGAAUGGAGAUUAAACAGGCUACUUAUCCCUAUCUUUGGCUUCUCCAAGGUGAGACACAGAGGAGAAAAGAAAUGGUCAGUGUUGCACAGCUGCUGCCAAAGACCUCAACAGCAUGUCACAGAUCCGUAAUUAAUACUGCACUUCUAGCAAGGAUUCAACUGUUUGAUUACAUAUGAAGAACAAAGCAUAUAUCCUUGAAAAUUGCAGCAAACAUUCCAAGAAUCUGUUAGUAUAUCCACUAAUUAGUUUAUAGGUUUGAGGGUUUUGUUUUUGCUUUUGGGUUUGUUUUUUUAAGAAAUGUAGGGUAUUCACUGAGACUACCAUUUAAGGUCUUACCUCUGCCCUGUCAUGGUAUCAGGAGCUUUAAAUAACAACACAUCUUUAAAGAUCAAAACUAAUGUACAAUCUGAAAUACUAAAAAGCCUGUGUCAGGUUUGUCAAAUUCCAGUAAGCGCACUUGGUGGGAAUGCCAUUUGCACUUACCAUGCAGAGCAAAAUGAAAACAUUCCAAGAACCUGAAAGUCCUAGAUAAUGGCUGCUUCUUGCUUUCACAAUAUUGCAGUAUUAUGAUUUGGUGUCUUUAUUUUGUAUAACAAAGUAUCAAAAAAUGUAAAUAGUUUUCAUAGUUGUUUACACAGUAAUCAAGACACUUCAAAGUGUGAUACCAAUUAAAAAAAAUCAGCAGAUGUAGAACAAUAUUUGUUGUGAAAAUGCCUAUGAGUCUCACUAAAAAAGAUUUAAUUUAGCAGAAAGUCUUUAGUUUCAAGUAAGAAUUUGUGAAACACUUCACAGACACAAAAUAUAGGAAAACCUUUAGGAAUAUCAUCAUAUUUUUGGACGUAUAUACCUUGUUGUAUUUAUGCCUUCUGUAUGUAUUUCUCAAACUUAAUUACUGCCAAUAGUAACAACCUUCUACAACUGCCAAUAAUGCUAUUUCCUGG